rnacentral:tRNA from 1 species
GCUAAAAUGGCAGAUAAAUGCCCAAGGUUUAAGAUCUUGAAAUGGAGGACUCCUUUUAGUA